rnacentral:rRNA from 1 species
AUCCACGCUGUAAACGAUGGACACUAGGUGUAGGUAGAGUCAAAUCUAUCUGUGCCAAAGCCAACGCGUUAAGUGUCCCGCCUGGGGAGUACGGCCGCAAGGCUAAACUCAAAGGAAUUGACGGUGGCCCCGCACAAGCAGCGGAGCGUGUGGUUUAAUUCGAUGCAACACGAAGAACCUUACCCGGGUUUGACAUGCACGUAGUAGUGAAGCGAAAGCGGAACGACUCUUCGGAGAGCGUGCACAGGUGCUGCAUGGCUGUCGU